UACGUAGGAUGCAAGCGUUAUCCGGAUUUAUUGGGUUUAAAGGGAGCGUAGGCGGUCUUAUAAGUCAGUGGUGAAAUCUUGUCGCUUAACGACAAACGUGCCAUUGAUACUGUAGGACUUGAGUACAGAUGCCGUUGGCGGAAUGUGUCAUGUAGCGGUGAAAUGCAUAGAUAUGACACAGAACACCGAUUGCGAAGGCAGCUGACGAAACUGUAACUGACGCUGAGGCUCGAAAGCGUGGGGAUCAAACAGG
rnacentral:rRNA from 1 species